GGACCCGCACAAGCAGUGGAGUAUGUGGUUUAAUUCGAAGCAACGCGAAGAACCUUACCAGGUCUUGACAUCCCUUUGAAAGCUCUAGAGAUAGAGUCGGCCUUCGGGACAGAGGAGACAGGUGGUGCAUGGUUGUCGUCAGCUCGUGUCGUGAGAUGUUGGGUUAAGUCCCGCAACGAGCGCAACCCUUGAUCUUAGUUGCCAGCAUGUAAGGAUGGGCUCUCUAAGAUGACUGCCGGUGACAAACCGGAGGAAGGUGGGGAUGACGUCAAAUCAUCAUGCCCCUUAUGACCUGGGCUACACACGUACUACAAUGGCCGGUACAACGGGAAGCGAAACCGCGAGGUGGAGCCAAUCCUAUCAAAGCCGGUCUCAGUUCGGAUUGCAGGCUGCAACUCGCCUGCAUGAAGUCGGAAUUGCUAGUAAUCGCGGAUCAGCAUGCCGCGGUGAAUACGUUCCCGGGUCUUGUACACACCGCCCGUCACACCACGAGAGUUUGCAACACCCGAAGUCGGUGAGGUAACCGCAAGGGGCCAGCCGCCGAAGGUGGGGUAGAUGAUUGGGGUG
rnacentral:rRNA from 1 species